rnacentral:rRNA from 1 species
UACGUAGGGGGCAAGCGUUAUCCGGAUUUACUGGGUGUAAAGGGAGCGUAGACGGCUUUGCAAGCCAGAUGUGAAAGCCCGGGGCUCAACCCCGGGACUGCAUUUGGAACUGUGUGGCUAGAGUGUCGGAGAGGCAGGCGGAAUUCCUAGUGUAGCGGUGAAAUGCGUAGAUAUUAGGAGGAACACCAGUGGCGAAGGCGGCCUGCUGGACGAUGACUGACGUUGAGGCUCAAAAGCGUGGGGAGCAAACAGG